rnacentral:rRNA from 1 species
GACGAACGCUGGCGGCAUGCCUAACACAUGCAAGUCGAACGAGACCAUCUGGUCUAGUUGCGCACGGGUUCGUGACGCGAGGGAACCUGCCCGUAGGGUCGGAAUAACUCCCCGAAAGGGGUGCUAAUACCGGAUAAUGUCUUCGGACCAAAGAUUGAUCGCCUUUGGAUGGGCCCACAUUGGAUUAGCCAGUUGGUAGGGGAAAAGACUACUAACGAUACGAUCCAUAGCUGGUCUGAGAGAAAGAUCAGCCACACUGGGACUGAGACGCAGCCCAGACUCCUACGCGAGGCAGGAGUGUGGGAUAUUGGACAGUCGGCGGAGGCAUGAUGCUGCAAUGCCGGGUGAGUGAUGAUGUCGGUAGGGUUGUAAAGCUCUUGUAACCGGGAUGAUAAUGACAGUACCCGGAGAAUAAGCCCCGGCUAACUACGUG